CAGUAGCCGCGGUAAUACGUAGGGUGCAAGCGUUAAUCGGAAUUACUGGGCGUAAAGCGUGCGCAGGCGGUUUGUUAAGACAGAUGUGAAAUCCCCGGGCUCAACCUGGGAACUGCAUUUGUGACUGUAUAGCUAGAGUACGGUAGAGGGGGAUGGAAUUCCGCGUGUAGCAGUGAAAUGCGUAGAUAUGCGGAGGAACACCGAUGGCGAAGGCAAUCCCCUGGACCUGUACUGACGCUCAUGCACGAAAGCGUGGGGAGCAAACAGGAUUAGAUACCCGGGUAGUCCCUGUCUCUUAUAC
rnacentral:rRNA from 1 species